CCUACGGGUGGCAGCAGUGGGGAAUAUUGGACAAUGGGGGGAACCCUGAUCCAGCCAUGCCGCGUGUGUGAAGAAGGCCCUCGGGUUGUAAAGCACUUUCAGUGAGGAAGAACGCCUGGUGGUUAAUACCCAUCAGGAAAGACAUCACUCACAGAAGAAGCACCGGCUAACUCCGUGCCAGCAGCCGCGGUAAUACGGAGGGUGCGAGCGUUAAUCGGAAUUACUGGGCGUAAAGCGCGCGUAGGUGGCUUGAUAAGCCGGUUGUGAAAGCCCCGGGCUCAACCUGGGAACGGCAUCCGGAACUGUCAAGCUAGAGUGCAGGAGAGGAAGGUAGAAUUCCCGGUGUAGCGGUGAAAUGCGUAGAGAUCGGGAGGAAUACCAGUGGUGAAGGCGGCCUUCUGGACUGACACUGACACUGAGGUGCGAAAGCGUGGGUAGCAAACAGGAUUAGAUACCCCGGUAGUC
rnacentral:rRNA from 1 species